GUUUGGGCAUCCCACUUCUUUACACCCAAAAGAUGUUUGGGCACCCCUUUGCUUGCUAGUUUUCAGACCUUGCUUGCUUUAUAAUCAAGGAAAGAAAAGCAAAAGAAGAAGAGAAGAAGAAAAUCAAGGAAAGGAUCAAAGAGUUGAUCGCGAUCUAGACUUCGUUCAGAUUCGCAGGCUGAUUAUUUUUAGAAAAGAAGAAUCAACACCAAAGA
rnacentral:lncRNA from 1 species